rnacentral:rRNA from 1 species
AUUGAACGCUAGCGGGAUGCCUUACACAUGCAAGUCGAACGGAGUGGCGAUCGGGUGCGUAAUGUAUCGGAACGUGCCCAGUAGCGUGGGCUAACUACGCGAAAGCGUAGCUAAUACCGCAUACUUUUGCAGCGGCCGAUAUCGGCUUAUCCAGUGGGUUGGGUAACGGCUCACCAGGGCGACGACCCGUAGCUGGUUUGAGAGGACGACCAGCCACACUGGGACUGGGAAACGGCCCAGACUCCUACGGGAGGAAGCAGUGGGGAAUUUUGGACAAUGGGGAAAACCCUGAUCCAGCCAGCCCGCGUAUGCGAUGAAGGCUUUCGGGUUGUAAAGCACUUUUGUCAGGAAAGCGGUACCUGCAGAAUAAGCACCGGCUAACUACGUGCCAGCAGCCGCGGUAAUAC